rnacentral:tRNA from 1 species
UAUAUUAGAGUAUGAGAUGUAUAAAAGUUUUUGAUACUUUAGGUAGUAGUUUAAUUCUACUUUAUAUGU